rnacentral:rRNA from 2 species
UUUGACCUCGGAUCAGGUAGGGAUACCCGCUGAACU